CGAACGCUGGCGGCGUGCUUAACACAUGCAAGUCGAACGAUGAAGUUCCUUCGGGAAUGGAUUAGUGGCGAACGGGUGAGGAUCACGUGAGAAACCUGCCUUUCAUUUUGGGAUAACUCCGGGAAACCGGGGCUAAAACCGAAUACUCCGUCUCGGCGGCAUCGCUGAGCCGGGAAAAAAUUUUGAUGAAAGAUGGUCUCGCGGCCUAUCAGCUAGUUGGUGAGGUAAUGGCUCACCAAGGCGACGACGGGUAGCCGGCCUGAGAGGGCGACCGGCCACACUGGGACUGAGACACGGCCCAGACUCCUACGGGAGGCAGCAGUGGGGGAAUAUUGGGCAAUGGAGGAAACUCUGACCCAGCGACGCCGCGUGCGGGAUGAAGGCCUUCGGUUGUAAACCGCUUUCAGUAGGAAGAAGCGAAAGUGACGGUACCGUACAAAGAAGCACCGGCUAACUAUGUGCCAGCAG
rnacentral:rRNA from 1 species